UUAGAUAAAGAAGAUUAAAAAUUUAAAGUGAAAAACUUUAAAAACAGAAGUACAGAAAGGUAAAAAAAAAGAGAGAAGAUGUAGAAAGAUAAAAAAGAUAUAGGAAGAUUAAAAAGAUGUAGAAAGACAAGAAUUUUAAACCCACAAAAUAGGAAACAAGAAAACUAGGAGAGAAAAUAAGCAACUAAGGGUAAAAAUACAAACCUUAGGAAAAAAAAAAAAAAAAACUAGAAGAUAGAAACAAGAUAAAAAAUGGUUGAAAAUGUCAAGUAAGGUAUUACACAGAUAGAAAAUGCAAAAAGCUAAGACAACUAUUAGAUACAGACAUACUUAUUAAAGCAAAAAGAGGGAAUUGGAAAGGGGUAUAUAUCCCCCAUAGAUAAACUUAAAAUAACCCUUUUUACUCUAAACUUUUAAAAUUUGGAUUCAUAAGGACUUAGUGCUGCGGAAAGACAUAUGUAUCCAAAAAAUGUACAUAAGCCUAAAGUACUUUGGAAAGAUAUUCUAACAGGACAAUGGAAAGGUCCUGACCCAGUGAUUGUCUGGAGUCGGGGGUCUGUUUGUGUUUUUCCACAGGGAGAACAGCAGCCCAUUUGGAUUCCAGAGAGAUUAACUAAAACAGUUUCUACAGAUCGAAAAGAAGAUGAUUUGACUCAAAUCCAUAACAGCUGAUAUCCAGAACUCCAGCUUGGCCAUUCUUACAUCUGCGACAGUGAUUAACCAGGAUGCUUUUUUCAAUAGCUAUUUUAUUAUUGCAUUUUUCCACAUCAUAAGGUUCUAUUUUUAUUUUUUGAGCUCAUACAAACCUAGGUUAAUGUUUUUCUGAUCAGUUUUAUUUUUUGACUGUGGAGUUUUUAAACAUUGCAAUGGAGAUUUCACCCAGGAUAAUGUCUCUUUAGCAUCAUUGCCAGAAUUCCUAUCUCCAUCUCAGUGCUGGUGAAGAACUCAACAAGUAAUGCUCAAUCAAAGAGUCAACUUACUUUGGGAGGAAACGGAUUUUGGGAGGAAAUGGACAUAUUGAUAGAUUCCUCUGCUUUGAACUGCUUGCAGAACUUGCCUGGACUAUGUAACUAUCGUUUGAUGGUGUCACUAGUGAUGCAAUUUUUAUUUCCUUGCCAGCGCACCCCAUGUUAAUUGUGGUAGUGCUGACAUAUCUUUGCUGAUGGUGUCACCAGUGAUGCAAUUUUUCCCAAGGAGCCGUCAAUUGGCUUGGUGUCGUGGCAUUUCUGUAUCCUCCUCCCUUCUGCUAGUGAUGGUCUAAAAUUUGGGGGCCAAUGGCUUAUGCUGGACCGGUAGUCAGUGACGGGUAUGAUCCAAUUGCAGUGGUAUCAACCUAAGACAGGAGGCUGACGCCUAAAGGUCAGUUUUCCGAUGACGGGUAAGAACCAUAUGUUGAAUUGGACAACCUACCAGGCACGGUCCAUAAGCCACAUUAACCUCACUCCCCCACUGGCACCAAGGCCAAAUUUGGGGGCCAACAGAGGUGAGGCAAAGAACCUCACCCCCCCACUGGUGCAUAGACCUAUCCACAAGUAUGGCUGUAUGCUGGACCGGUAGUCAGUGACGGGUAUGAUUCAAUUGCAGUGGUAUCAACCUAAGACAGGAGGCUGACGCCUAAAGGUCAGUUUUCCGAUGACGGGUAAGAACCAUAUGUUGAAUUGGACAACCUACCAGGCACGGUCCUUAAGCCACAUUGCUUGUUGUUUAAUUAAUCAGAAGGGGGGAGAUGCUGGGAGCCAUUAGCCAAGUAGGUAUGACAAUUUCCUUGCCAGCGUACCCCAUGUUGCUGACAUGUUGCAGUGACAUUGAAUGUACUUAACCUUGCUCAAGGACCAAGGCAGAUUAGGGUGUUCCCGGUUUUAAGAUAAUCUUGUUUAGGGCGUUCCCAGUUUAGGUUCCAGGUUUAAGGUUUAAGAUUAUUCCUGCUGGGAAUAGGGCGUAUCCUGCUGCCUGAGUUCCCCUUGAGUUCUCACGGGAUUCAGACAGUAUAUUUUGGAGAUAGAAGCCCAGUGGAGGUGGAUUUGGGCAGAGAACGUGGAUUUGGGAAGAGAACGUGGAUUUCCCCAGAACGUGAUUGUAGACGGCUGGUGUGAGUUCGGGAAUAAAGAGUUGCUGUUUGAAUCUACAA